ACAAUUGUGUUUGCAUAUGUCAUAAAAAUUGAACCGAUUGAGGAGGAGUUCCUCAGUGUUAUUGUUUAUAAAACGAACGGCAAGGUGGAGAAGUCUUGUUUAUGCCUCCUUGAAUAUCAAAUCCGGUCGUUAUAUGCAGUUGCCUGAGCAAUUUCACCCGGUUGCCUCAGUAGCGCAACGCAAUGAAGCUGGACGGGAAGUGACGCUGGUUGAGUACCUGUCUGGUGUUGUGCAUAGAUUCCAAUGUUUUUAAAAUAACUUUGUACACAGUACGGCAUCCGAGCAUCCAAUGCAGGAAAUUAUAUAACAAAUACUUCAAAUACUUUAAGAGGAAGUAGAAGUGAUCUUUCCACGUAUAUAUCAUCAAACACCCACUACACAUGAACUCCUAUUAUGGUCAUCAACACAAUCGGUUGUAUUUUCAGAUUUUGAAGUAAUCACUGGAACCCCAUUUUAAUCAAUGCACACAUUGCGCAAGGUGCAUGUUCACGUUUAGUGUGAUUUGCGGGCCACAGGCUUUAGUACUAGUACAUCUAAGGCAGAUAAUAAUUUGAAUGGUGAUCUUAUUAAUGCUUCCAUGUACGCAGUGCUAUGUCAAACAUGCAGCUAUGAAUAUGAA